GUGCUCACUUCGGCAGCACAUAUACUAAAAUUGGAGCAAUACAGAGAUUAGCAUGGCCCUUGCGCAAGGAUGACACGCAAAUUCAAGGAGCAUUCCACAAAAAU